rnacentral:lncRNA from 10 species
ACGAUCCACAUCUCAGGGGGGUGAGGCACCCCCCGCAAUAAGGGGAGUAAUAGCAACGAUCUCUCCACCCCUAGCUAUUACGAUCCACGGUGGACUCAUAGCCUGUUUACGAUAUUGUCUUUUCUUCCGUUCUGUCCUCCAAAUCGGCCUCUUCCGAGUGUGUUGACCAGGGCCAGCCAGGCAGAAGGCUGGUUUCGCUCAAAGAGGAUCCUCUCGCCCAUCCUGGAACUUCAGGCCUGUUUCGGUUGGACCUGCAGAGAAGCCUUAGGGGCCACUUCGUUCGGCAUCCCAGGGGGCAGGUGCGCGGUACAGGGAAGAAGAGGGUUUGACUGUUGUUCUCAACCCCCGGCACCAAACCUCCACCCUGGUGCGCGCCCCUCCAGGCUCCUGCUGGUCUCAGUCGCCGGUAGUUAGGUCUCCUGUCAGCCUGAGCUCCCGAGACACCCAGCCCCGGAAGGACACGUAGGGGAAACCAGCUACUCACUUCGGUCUUGUCCGCAAGGGAUCCCUUUCUGACGGGAAAGAAAGGCGGCGAGUCCGGUCCUGUUGAGUAAGCGGAAGAGAGAUCAAGGGGAAGAGAAGAAAAAUCCUGUGAGGUUUCAAGAUCUAAAGUUACCAUGAAGUCGACCUAACCUCGUCUGGAGGUCCUCCUGUGGCUGGCGAAGGUGAGUCGAGUCCCCGUCUUCAGUUUGUCAAAGUGGACAAAGCCUACGACAAUGGCCAGUACCAGCUACUAGGCAUUCCCAGUCUUUCCAGUUGGUGGUACUGGAGCUUCCCUACCCAGGAUUUCCGUGGAUUCCAAGGGUACAACUGAACAGCUUUUGUUGUUCCAACUGCUCUUAUUUGAAGAAAGGGCCGAUCUGUUGAGAAGUACAUAGGAAAACCACUUUGGUAAGAGUAGUAUAGCAACUGUUGUUGAGACUGUCACAUUCCCCCCACCUCCUCCUCCCUCCUCCUAGAAAUGUUCAAUGAAAAUUAAUCCCCACGACGGGCCUGUUGUACUUUCAAUGUACAAUUGGCAGAACCUAAGGGAACUCUAGGAGGUUCCGGGAUGAAUAUGGGAAGUAUGACACAGUCAUUUUUAUUUACACAUGCAUUCCAAAAACACAUUGAAUAAACACAUCCAGUUCACCUGUGCCACACUUACAAAGAUGGGAAAAGAGGAACUACAUACAAACAAGUGAAGAUGUAAUUGAAUGGCUUUUAAAUAUCUGCUGAAGGUUUCCACUGAAGGUCUUCUACCAGUGUCUUCUCUUUCUCUAAAAUAAGACAUUCAAGUGCCAGACCCUGAAAUAAGUUUUCUGGUUCCAGCUUGUUCUUUCCCAUUCUGUAUCUUUGCCCCUCCACUCUCUUCUUACAUAUGCAGGAAAGGUCAGCUCUCCCUCAGUUUCUAAUUUGCAACAUCCCACAUGAAGAAUGCAAUGACCAGCAUCAAAAAUUAGACACCCUCCAUGGGACUCCAUCUCUGUCUUAGUUGGAGCUAAUGUACCAUAAACUGGGUAGCUGAUCCACAACAGACAUUUCUCACAGUUCUGGAGUUUGGAAGUCUAAGGUCAAGGUGCCAGCAUGGUAGGGUUAUGGUGAGGAACCUCUUCCUGGUCAUAGACUGCCAUCUUCCUACUGUAUCUGCAGGGGGCUGAAAGAGGCUGAGAGAGCUCUCUAGUGUCCCUUUUAUAGGGGCACUAAUCCCACUCAGGAGGACUCCACCCUCUGGAUCUAAUUACCUCCCAAAGGCCCCUCCUCCUAAUUUUAACACUUUCCAGGGGUGGACAGGGGAAGGUUAGGGUUUCAACCAAGGCAUUUUGGGGGGACACAAAUAUUAGGUCUCCUGUGAUCUUUCAAGAAGAAGAAGAAAUUAUAAAUGACCCAAAGCUUUGUACAUUUCACAGUUAGAAAUAAAGAAAACUUUUCCUAAGAU